rnacentral:rRNA from 1 species
GAUGAAGCCCACUUGUGGGUGGAUUAGUGGCGAACGGGUGAGUAACACGUGAGUAACCUGCCCUUGACUCUGGGAUAAGCCUGGGAAACUGGGUCUAAUACCGGAUAUGACUGAUCAUCGCAUGGUGGUUGGUGGAAAGCUUUUGUGGUUUUGGAUGGACUCGCGGCCUAUCAGCUUGUUGGUGAGGUAAUGGCUUACCAAGGCGACGACGGGUAGCCGGCCUGAGAGGGUGACCGGCCACACUGGGACUGAGACACGGCCCAGACUCCUACGGGAGGCAGCAGUGGGGAAUAUUGCACAAUGGGCGCAAGCCUGAUGCAGCGACGCCGCGUGAGGGAUGACGGCCUUCGGGUUGUAAACCUCUUUCAGUAGGGAAGAAGCCUUUCGGGGUGACGGUACCUGCAGAAGAAGCGCCGGCUAACUACGUGCCAGCAGCCGCGGUAAUACGUAGGGCGCAAGCGUUAUCCGGAAUUAUUGGGCGUAAAGAGCUCGUAGGCGGUUUGUCGCGUCUGCCGUGAAAGUCCGGGGCUCAACUCCGGAUCUGCGGUGGGUACGGGCAGACUAGAGUGAUGUAGGGGAGACUGGAAUUCCUGGUGUAGCGGUGAAAUGCGCAGAUAUCAGGAGGAACACCGAUGGCGAAGGCAGGUCUCUGGGCAUUAACUGACGCUGAGGAGCGAAAGCAUGGGGAGCGAACAGGAUUAGAUACCCUGGUAGUCCAUGCCGUAAACGUUGGGCACUAGGUGUGGGGGACAUUCCACGUUUUCCGCGCCGUA